GUAGGGUGCAAGCGUUAAUCGGAAUUACUGGGCGUAAAGCGUGCGCAGGCGGUUUUGUAAGACAGUCGUGAAAUCCCCGGGCUCAACCUGGGAAUUGCGAUUGUGACUGCAAGGCUGGAGUGCGGCAGAGGGGGAUGGAAUUCCGCGUGUAGCAGUGAAAUGCGUAGAUAUGCGGAGGAACACCGAUGGCGAAGGCAAUCCCCUGGGCCUGCACUGACGCUCAUGCACGAAAGCGUGGGGAGCAAAC
rnacentral:rRNA from 1 species